rnacentral:misc_RNA from 1 species
AACUCUCAACCCCCCUAUUUUGUAAUGAAAUGGGCGUGGGCUUGGAUUAUGGUUGUCUGUCGGCGUAAUUGCCGGCUCAACUGAAAUACACGAGCAACCCUAUUUAAAUAAACGGUUUGACUUGGCGUAAUAAUUAUUUCGCUAAGGACGUUUUCUUAAAAUAUAAGAGGUGCUACUAAUUCGCUUUUAUAGCAUUUAAGC